rnacentral:lncRNA from 1 species
AAGAUGGUUCAUCAGGAUUCGAGGUUGCUACCAUAUUCUCAACACAAUGUCGAACCUAUACCUUAGAAAAUGUAGGCUAGAUGUGUUGUGAAAUUCAAAGCACUAAUUAGCUUACAACUCACUAAAAGGAACUUAAUAAAAAGAACUCACUUUGCACUACUUCCAACUAGUCAUUGGGCUCUUAGAUUUUAUAUACCUUGUGUGUUGUAUAUUUUUUUUUCAAAAAUUUUAACUAAAAACUUUUUUUUUAAUA